GUUUUGUUUGCGAGUAACGAAAAAAAGUGCCAGCCUUUAAAGCCGAAAUUUUGACAAAAAUCUUACAACUAAAACAGUUGGCAAGUGAUUCUGAUGAGCAGAGGAAGUGCACUUCUUUGACCAUUAGGGUGCGGAGGAAUCUGGAACCACUCUGAAAUUGCCGUCCACUUUUCAUUAAUCAACCGAAGUGGAUAUUCUCGCAGACCCUCCCAGCAGCCAGCCUUUGUGCAUAGCCACACAUCUGCAAUCUGACUGGCAAGUAUGUCUGACCACUCGGGAUCUGAUACGGACGAGUCCCUCGUCGUUUACCACAACAUCCUGAGCAUGGAGAGCGACGUUGACGUCUUCUUCGCCAGGGCCAAUGCGCGAAUCAUGUGCACACUCAGGUGCGAGGUCCAGGAUCUGAAGGAGCAGGUGCUUAACCUGGAGAACAGGUGUGAGCUCAUGAGGGCUGAGAACGAAGCUCUGCGUCAGCAGAUACCCAAUGCUGGAGCGGCCGUGCCCCUGGGGAAUGAGGGCCAGGGGAAUGUGGCCCCCGAAAAUUAGCCCUAAGGGAACCAAGUCCCUGAUGGGGAGAUGACGCAUGGUUUGGUGUCAUUAGGAUGGCCACCACACACAAUUUUAACCUUUCGUCGUGAUGUUUUUUUUAGUCUAGUUUCACCUAGUGUUUCUUAAAUCUUAUUACUAAUAUUGUCACUAAUAUUAUUGUUAGUAAUAUUGGCAUUAAUAUAGUUACUUUAAUAUUACCAUUAAUAUUUUUGCAUGAAUAUUGCCACAUCGAUUUAACCUUUUAGAUAUUCAGACUACGUCAUUCUGAUCACU